UACGAAGGGGGCUAGCGUUGUUCGGAAUUACUGGGCGUAAAGCGUGCGCAGGCGGCUUCUCAAGUCAGGGGUGAAAGCCCAGAGCUCAACUCUGGAAUUGCCUUUGAGACUGAGUGGCUUGAGUACGAGAGAGGUGAGUGGAAUUCCCAGUGUAGAGGUGAAAUUCGUAGAUAUUGGGAAGAACACCGGUGGCGAAGGCGGCUCACUGGCUCGUAACUGACGCUCAGGCACGACAGCGUGGGGAUCAAACAGG
rnacentral:rRNA from 1 species